rnacentral:tRNA from 1 species
UUGUGGUAUAAUGGAAGAAUAUUGGCCUUCUAAGCCGAAGAUUGGGGUUCGAAUCCCUGC